AAGACAAAUAUAUAUUUGAGAUUGUGGUCAAAAGUAUAGGUGUUCCCUAUAAAAACAUCACGGCAGGCCUUUAUCGGCCUAUCACGCACUGACGGUAAAAAAUAUCAACUCGGUGCGGGAGGAGGCCUAUUGUGGCCCGCCGUCCCAACAGGCUGUUGGCGGCCCGGUACCGCACAGAGCGCCCGCCUCGCCAAUUAGUGUUGGGUAAGCUAUCGGAACUGACGUACGUCACGUUUUUUUUAUUCCUUUUUAUGUUGAAGGUGAUUCCUUCUGUUUCGAGUUGACGACGUUCUACCUCUGCAACAGGAAAUCAAGUAACACCUACGGCCGAUCAUAUCCUUGAGAUGAGCGGUAAACGGCGAAAUUGUGUAGGGUGCUAUGAAAAACUGCGGGAAACCAUGAAGAGUUCCGAGGUGAAAAGGAAAGUAAAAAAAUUUAAAACAUACUGCAGAAUGUGCAAGCAAAAUCUUUGUGCGAAAUGUUUUAAAGACAGCCAUUAAUAAAUAAUUAAAUAAACAAUUUUUAUUUCUUUACUUUAA